GCGCUGAGUGUACCGUUUUAAUGGUCUUGCAAAUAAUGGGAGUUGGUCUGCCCUGCUGCCAAUUUUGACACAGUACAUACAGUAGCAACUGUUCCGAUUUCAACGUAUGUUAAAAUGAACUGCACAUGCGCGAGCAAGGUACAUAAUCAAUCAGGGCACGGAGAGUCACUCACAACGCUUGAACAGUGGAAAAAUUUUAGGUGCCGACCCCUAUGCUGUUCCAUGGGCACGGAAAACGGAAUCAGAACGGAAAGGUGAAAUGGUGGGGACAGCCAAUCAGCAUCGUUCCGAAAAUUUCAUUUAGCUUUCUGUUCCGAUUUUAAGCAUUCUGUAUGAUGCUUCUGUAUGAUGAUCCUGUAUCCUGCCUAUUCUCUAACUUCGAAACGACAAUGUUAUCGUUACGUAUACAUAUACGCGACAAUCAUCGCUUGUGCUGGCAAUAUUAUAACGACAAAGCUAUUCUGUACACAAGCUAACAAAACGAUAUCGAUACAAAAUGUGAUUUCGAUGUCGUUAUCGUAACGAAUAUACUCGGUUUCAUACAAUUUUUUCGUUGUAAUAUCCAACCAAUAAAAUCUCUUUUCUAAUAUC